UACGGGAGGCAGCAGUAGGGAAUCUUCCGCAAUGGACGAAAGUCUGACGGAGCAACGCCGCGUGAGUGAUGAAGGUUUUCGGAUCGUAAAGCUCUGUUGUUAGGGAAGAACAAGUGCAAGAGUAACUGCUUGCACCUUGACGGUACCUAACCAGAAAGCCACGGCUAACUACGUGCCAGCAGCCGCGGUAAU
rnacentral:rRNA from 1 species